AUGUUUGCUUGGGCUAGGAGAGCCAACCAUGUUUAUGAUCAAGUGGAAAUUGAUGAAGUGCGUAAUGAGCUCGCAAGUUAUGUGUUGAAGAACAUCCUCAAGCUGUAAUGUAUGCAGUUGCUCAUGCCCUAGAAGCUGUGAAGUGAAAUAGGCUAGAAAUGUAUUUUUGUGCUCCAAAGUGACAAUUUAAAGUGCAUUUCUUCACUUAUUUUG
rnacentral:lncRNA from 1 species